rnacentral:rRNA from 1 species
AAUACGAAGGGGGCUAGCGUUGUUCGGAAUUACUGGGCGUAAAGCGCGCGCAGGCGGUUCUUUAAGUCAGGGGUGAAAGCCCAGAGCUCAACUCUGGAAUUGCCUUUGAAACUAGAGAACUUGGGUACGGGAGAGGUGAGCGGAAUUCCGAGUGUAGAGGUGAAAUUCGUAGAUAUUCGGAAGAACACCAGUGGCGAAGGCGGCUCACUGGCCCGUUACCGACGCUCAGGCGCGACAGCGUGGGGAGCAAACAG